rnacentral:rRNA from 1 species
GAUGAACGCUGGCGGCGUGCCUAAUACAUGCAAGUCGAGCGAAGCGGGGACGGGUGAGUAACACGUGGAUAACCUCCUAUAAGCCUGGGAUAACUUCAGGAAACCGGAGCUAAACCGGAUACUUAUAGGAGGAUCCGCGCGGCAUUAGCUAGUUGGUAAAGUAACGGCUUACCAAGGCAACAAUGCAUAGCCGACCUGAGAGGGUGAUCGGCCACACUGGAACUGAAACCCUGCCAAGACUCCUACGGGAGGCAGCAGUAGGGAAUCUACCGCAAUGGGCGAAAGCCUGACGGAGCAACGCCGCGUGAGUGAUGAAGGUCUUCGGAUCGUAAAACUCUGUUAUUAGGGAAGCGGUACCUAAGCAGAAAGCCACGGCUAACUACGUGCCAGCAGCCGCGGUAAUAC